AACGCACAUUGCGCCCGCUGGUAUUCCGGCGGGCAUGCCUGUCCGAGCGUCAUUACGACCCUCGCGGAGCCCCUCCCCCCCGGGGGAGGCGCCUCCCGCGGCGUUGGGCGUCCCGGGAACCCCGGGUGCCUCAAAUGCAUAGGCGGUCCCGCCUGGCGGCUCCCUGCGUAGUAGCAUCUCCUCCUCGCAGCGGGCACCAGGCGGACGUCCGCCUCUCAACACCCCAACACCGGGCGCGGCGGCGACGCCGUACCCAGUACGUUGACCUCGGAUCAGGUAGGGAUACCCGCUGAACUUAA
rnacentral:misc_RNA from 1 species